rnacentral:sRNA from 1 species
GCCAGGUGCAGUGGCGCACGCCUGUAAUCCCAGUGGCUGGGGAGGCUGAGGCAGGAGGAUCACAAGUUCAAAGUCAGCCUAAGCAAAAAGUGAGGCACUAAGCAACUCAGUGAGACACUGUCUCUA